rnacentral:sRNA from 1 species
ACCUUAAACAAUACACAGCAUACUCGCUGCGUCUUUGCGAGAGGUUAACCU